GAUGAACGCUGGCGGCGUGCCUAAUACAUGCAAGUCGAGCGAACAGACGAGGAGCUUGCUCCUCUGACGUUAGCGGCGGACGGGUGAGUAACACGUGGAUAACCUACCUAUAAGACUGGGAUAACUUCGGGAAACCGGAGCUAAUACCGGAUAAUAUAUUGAACCGCAUGGUUCAAUAGUGAAAGACGGUUUUGCUGUCACUUAUAGAUGGAUCCGCGCCGCAUUAGCUAGUUGGUAAGGUAAAGGCUUACCAAGGCAACGAUGCGUAGCCGACCUGAGAGGGUGAUCGGCCACACUGGAACUGAGGCACGGUCCAGACUCCUACGGGAGGCAGCAGUAGGGAAUCUUCCGCAAUGGGCGAAAGCCUGACGGAGCAACGCCGCGUGAGUGAUGAAGGUCUUCGGAUCGUAAAACUCUGUUAUUAGGGAAGAACAAAUGUGUAAGUAACUAUGCACGUCUUGACGGUACCUAAUCAGAAAGCCACGGCUAACUACGUG
rnacentral:rRNA from 1 species